AAGACUAUACUUUCAGGGAUCAUUUCUCUGUUGGUUACUAGAAAAAUUUCUCAGAUUGUGUAGGGCACCCGGAACCAUGAGGAGGAGCCCGAGCACCCUCUCCUGAGUGUGAACCCAGUUCGAGGUGUUGCUUUUGCAACUGCCUUUUUUCAUUGAUGAUUCUUCUAAUUCCUUCAGAAGAAUGAGAGGGAAAACAUGCAAUCUGAGUGGU